GUCUGUGGCCACGCCACCCUGAACAAGCCCGAUGUCUGAUCUCGGAAGCUAAGCAGGGUCGGGCCUGGUUAGGACUUGGAUGGGAGACCACCUAGGAAGACCGGGUGCUGUAGGCA
rnacentral:rRNA from 1 species